rnacentral:rRNA from 1 species
GUGGGGAAUUGUUCACAAUGGGCGCAAGCCUGAUGACGCAACGCCGCGUGGAGGAUGAAGGUCUUCGGAUUGUAAACUCCUGUUGCUCGGGACGAAAAGCUCUGACCUAACACGUCAGAGUCUGACGGUACCGAGUGAGGAAGCCCCGGCUAACUCUGUGCCAGCAGCCGCGGUAAUACAGAGGGGGCAAGCGUUGUUCGGAAUUACUGGGCGUAAAGGGCGCGUAGGCGGCCUUCUAAGUCAGACGUGAAAUCCCCGGGCUCAACCCGGGAACUGCGUCUGAUACUGGAGGGCUUGAAUCCGGGAGAGGGAUGCGGAAUUCCAGGUGUAGCGGUGAAAUGCGUAGAUAUCUGGAGGAACACCGGUGGCGAAGGCGGCAUCCUGGACCGGUAUUGACGCUGAGGCGCGAAAGCCAGGGGAGCAAACGGGAUUAGAAACCCCAGUAGUCC